AUCGAGGAACACGAUUUCCAAACAAAGCUUCGUAACGUCCGUAAGUUCUUGGAGGAUCAUCACAAGGUGAAGUGUACGAUCCGUUUCCGUGGACGUGAAAUCACCCACUCCGAAAUCGGACUUGCCGUUAUGGAACGUGUUGCAGCCCAGUGUGAAGAUCUCGCUUCGCCUGAGCGCAAGCCAAAGAUCGAAGGCCGCAGCAUGAUCAUGAUUCUGGCUCCGAAAGCGGAAAAGUAAGAUAGUAGUUUAGACAGGAGGAUUUUUCAGAUGCCUAAAAUGAAAACCAACAAGGCUGCUGCGAAACGUUUCAAAAAAACCGGAAGCGGCCAAUUGAAGCGCGA
rnacentral:misc_RNA from 1 species